GCAUAUCAUAGCGAGAAAAGAAAAUACAUGAUUUCCCUAGUAACGGCGAGUGAAGAGGAAAGAGCUCAAAGUUGGAACCUGUUUGGCUUAGCCAAACCGGAUUGUAAACUGUAGAAGUGUUUUCCUGACACGCCUGGUAAAAAAAGUCCUUUGGAACAGGGCAUCAUAGAGGGGUGAGAAUCCCGUCUUUGGCCAGAGCUGUUGUCUUUUGCGAUACAUUUUCAAAGAGUCAGGUUGUUUGGGAAUGCAGCCUAAAUUGGGUGGUAAAUCUCACCUAAAGCUAAAUAUUUGCGAGAGACCGAUAGCGAACAAGUACCGUGAGGGAAAGAUGAAAAGAACUUUGAAAAGAGAGUUAAACAGUAUGUGAAAUUGUUAAAAGGGAACCGUUUGGAGCCAGACUGGCUUGAUCGUAAUCAAUCUAAGCUUCGGCUUGGAUGCACUUGCGGUCUUUGCCUGCCAACGACAAUUUUUUCUGGGGGAAAAAACUAAUGGAAACGUAGCCCAUCUCGGUGGGUGUUAUAGUCCGUUAGAAAAUACCCUGGAUUGGAUUGAGGAACGCAGUGAAUGCUCUUUAGGGCAAGAUUGCUGGGUGCUUUCGCUAAUACAUGCUAAAAUUUCUGCUUCGGGUGGUGUUAGUGUGUAAAGGAGGAACUCGCCUAGUAUAUUUUUUAUUCGCUUAGGUUGUUGGCUUAAUGACUCUAAAUGACCCGUCUUGAAACACGGACCAAGGAGUCCACCAUUAGUGCGAGUAUUUGGGUGACAAACUCAUAUGCGCAAGGAAACUGAUUGAUACGAAAUCUUUAAGAUGGCAGUAUCACCCGGCGAAGACGUUUUAUACUGAACCGACCGAGGUAAAGCACUAAUGAUGGGACCCGAAAGAUGGUGAACUAUGCCUGAAUAGGGUGAAGCCGGAGGAAACUCCGGUGGAGGCUCGUAGCGAUUCUGACGUGCAAAUCGAUCGUCAAAUUUGGGUAUAGGGGCGAAAGACUAAUCGAACCAUCUAGUAGCUGGUUCCUGCGA
rnacentral:rRNA from 1 species